AAUGAAUGCGAUGAAUUAUUUAUACUGAAACCGCAAUCAAUAAAUCUAUCUGCCCACACCAUUCAAUAAUUAAGAAAUCAUUAAUCAGAUCCAGAUAAGAUUCGAUACAGAAAGGGAACUUUUGCCGCACAGUGCGGGAAAAUGGGCGGCAAGGUCGUUGGACGAGGGCAUGAUGAUGUAAUUGCGAAAAGUUCUCUUUGCGCCAAAUUUGCGAACACAAAUUUAUCAGCGCGUCACGCAGUCUGCGACUUGUGCGGCGGAUGUUUACUGUGCCCAUCAUACACUGAAAACAAAAACGAUGAUGUGCUUCACUUUAGUACAUAUCACAGCCGGUACAUUAUGACCUUUUUUGCCUGCUUACUUUACCUGUUUGCAAUUAAGUAUUCAAUAAACAAUAUGCCUUUACUACAGCUUUAAAGUUAAAAA